UUGGAAUCGAGGCGGACAAUGUAAUCCAUUGGAAAACUAUACUUAUUUCCAAUGGAUUACAUUGUCUGCCUCGAUUCCAA